rnacentral:rRNA from 1 species
AUUGAACGCUGGCGGAAUGCUUAACACAUGCAAGUCGAGCGGGCUGUAGCAAUACAGCUAGCGGCGGACGGGUGAGGAAUACAUAGGAAUCUGCCUCAGAGUGGGGGAUAGCCCGGGGAAACCCGGAUUAAUACCGCAUGAUGUCGUAAGACCAAAGCAGGGGACCGUAAGGCCUUGCGCUUUGAGAUGAGCCUAUGUCGGAUUAGCUAGUUGGCGGGGUAAAAGCCCACCAAGGCGACGAUCCGUAGCUGGUCUGAGAGGACGAUCAGCCACACCGGAACUGAGACACGGUCCGGACUCCUACGGGAGGCAGCAGUGGGGAAUAUUGGACAAUGGGCGCAAGCCUGAUCCAGCAAUUCCGCGUGUGUGAAGAAGGCCUCGGUGUAAG